AGGGUACGAAUAACGGAAGCGCUUGGCGACGAUGCCAAAGGACAAAAGGAAGCGAGCUAACACGUGAAAACAAAGAUAUGAUUGGAUUGGAUUUGAGUCGCAGCUUAGUAAGGAAAGCGCCUAAGGUUAUGAGUUUGAUUCGAGGACGAAUCAUCUCGAAGAGGGAGGGAAUGAUAGAGAUCGGACCAGCCCAUUCAUAGACUCUUUUCCAAGGAAUAGGAUGUCCAAUUACAAGGUCCAAGCCUAAAGGAAUGAAUCAAGCUUUGCAAGGAUUUUUCCUUCAAAUUAAGAAUGAUGGUUUGGGCCCAACAUGAAGGCAGAUUUGUCAAGAGCCCAAUCUCCAUGUUAAAGAUGCAUUCAUGAGCUGAAAUUAUACAAAUUAGAGACUAAUAAUUAUUGGACCUUCAUAACUACAAAAUAAGUCCAAUAUUUUUAUUCUCUUUUGAAUUUUCGUAUUUAAUUUAGGGGUGAAUUUUCUGAAGACAUUUUGUAUUCCCCCUAGUUGGUUUUUAAUGUCUUUUAUGAGCCUUUGACUCAUCUUUAGGAAUAGUGGGUUUUUACUCAAGUUUCCAAUGCUAGUGGAGCUAUAAAUCUCUAGUGGAGUCUAUUAAAUGUUAGUGGGAGCAUUAUUACU